UACGAAGGGGGCUAGCGUUGUUCGGAUUUACUGGGCGUAAAGCGCACGUAGGCGGAUCGUUAAGUCGGGGGUGAAAUCCUGGAGCUCAACUCCAGAACUGCCUUCGAUACUGGCGAUCUAGAGUCCGGAAGAGGUGAGUGGAACUCCUAGUGUAGAGGUGGAAUUCGUAGAUAUUAGGAAGAACACCAGUGGCGAAGGCGGCUCACGUGG
rnacentral:rRNA from 1 species